GGACCUGAGGGCAGAAGGAAAAGAGGACACACAUCCACCACGGGCCUCUUCGUCCAUCUCACGUGAUUCCCGGCAUCUCUCCUCGCGGUUUCUGAUGGCCACAUGGUACUUCCCCAGAGCACCCACCCGGACUGGUCCAUUUAGAUGGCUCCUGCUACUGUUAUGCUUAUGAGCAAUGCUGUAAUGACUGUCACUGUACUCAACGUUUGUGCACAUUUGUACUUAUUUCCACAGAACAAAUGCUAGAAGCAGAGUUGCUGGAUCAGAAGAUAGGCAUUUGAAAAUAACCAAAAAUGUUAAGAGAAAAAAUUAGCCCGGUCAGGAUGGGGGCAGAGAGUAGAAGUCCAUCCUCCUAUAAGCAACCUUGCAAGUAAGUACCAUAUCUACCAGCCCAUAAAGUUUUUACCAGCCCAGAUCUUCCCUCAGAAGGUUCCCAGAGAGGAAGGUGAGUAACAGCAAUUUUAUAAAGCUGUCGCAAUAAAAUUAUUACAAAUGUAAAAAUUAUAUGUAGCAUACUAAUAUAGUCCAGUAUAAAAUUGUUAUACACAAUUUUAUAAUAAAAACAUGGUCUCCCACUGGUCUGUGCGUGAGGGCCCUGUGGGGGCUCCGCGUUACCUUGCAGCCAUCCAUGGACACUUCAGGCCUGAACUGACCCCCAGCUUCAAAGAUCUGCCCGUUCCAGGCCCGGAAGCGAACUGCCCGCUUGGCUGGGGCCUGCCCGGGGCCCUCCUGCCACACGGUCAUGUUCAGGCAGUGGAUGGUGAUAUGCUGUGUCACCUCAGAGCUUAGCAGGUGCAGAAAAUUCAUCUGGACCCGGCUGACGGCAAACUCGACCUGGGGAGGAGACACAGCCGUGGGGCAGGGGCGGGUCUGGCUGGGAUGCCCACAGCUCUCAGAAGGUCAGCUCUCAGGGGUAAGCUUUCCUGGUAACAUUUCCCAACCAUGCUCCCAGAUGUGUGCCCACUUAAGAGACAGGGAAAUUGAGGUCUGUGUGAGCUGGUCCAGGGCCAGGGAGCAGCAAGGAAGGGAAAGAAAGAACCAAAGCCAGAGUCGGAGCUGUGAAGGGCCCGAUACAAUCUUACCCACUCCCCUCUCCAUUGUAGGGGACGGGGGUCUUUGGAGCUGAGCUGGGACCCAGAGGCCCAGAGAGGAAGAGGAUCUUGCCCAAGAUUGAGAGGCUCUCAGAGUAAAGAGGAAAUGAGCAGCGCCCUUCCUACCCUACGUCUCCAUAUCCCUGAGGGGUGGGAUGGGGUAGAAACGCCAGACCUGACCACAGACAACAGGACAGGAUUUACGGCCUCAGUGGUUCUAGUGUGAGGGCUGACAGCUGGGUCUGUGUGUCCGUAAUGCGAGCACCUGACGUAAGUUUUGACCCCACGCACUUCAAAGGCGCCAUCUCUGAUCAGCACCCCACAGAGGCUCAUUGUUCCCCAUGGGGUGGAGACUCCGAGGGGCAGUCCCGCGGCCAACCCAGGGGCCAACUCCGGCCUCACCCCUCUGCCACGUCACAGUCAGAGGGGAAAGGGCCUGCUGGACCGGGAGCUCCGGCUGUGGGGCUAGUGGCGAGGCUGCCGUGUUUCGUGUUGCAUCCCAGCACCUGGCACAUGGCAGGGACUCAACUGGUUGACCAGCUGGCUCCUGAAGACUCUCCAACUCUGGGUGGGGGAGUGGUCACACGGCCACUGCCCUCCUUGGCUUAUUGUUGAGUUGCCCUGAGCCACCUAAAAUUCUCAGCCCAGAGAUGGGCACCUGGUAAGCGGGCAGCGAACAUUCAUUUAAUAUUUGCACGCACAGUCCUGGCGGCUGUCGCCGGGGAGCCGCACCCUGACUUGUUUUGUGCUGAUGGCUCAUGGUUCUCCAGGCCAGGCCAGCUUGGCUAACGACGCUGCUUUAGGUAUUAGGCAAAAAGUCCUACUUGAAGAGAGAACCGUUGGCAUCAGACAAGUCCAAGGGGUUUGGAUUUAAAACAAUUCACCCUCAACUUAUAGGUGAAGGAACUGACGUUCAGAAAUGGGAGAUGACUUCCCCAAGGCCGGGCAGCCAGUCGGGGGCGGGAGCCGACGGGUACCUUGGAGGCUGUGAUGGGCUUGAGACACGUCUGUCCACCAUGCGUGAAGUUGCAGGAGACUUCGAUGGUGUCGGACGAGCAGCCAAGGUUCGGAUCCACCCAGCUCCGGAAGGAUGGGACCCGCCUCGGGGGACCCACUUCACCCCGAGGUCCUUCUGAAGCACAAGGCCUGGCACCGGGGCUCGGCGACUGCUG